AUGGAACCAGAGCCAGUCGGAGGGGAAUUGGAGUGGCUGCUUCAGGACAGCGGCUGCAACAGGACCAGAUAUCAAAGAGCUAGGAGCAAGACACAGAGUGUCUCCUUCAGCUGCAAAGUUACUGGUCGGUGUACGGGUAACACAGUCCACUGGUACCAGAAGGGAGAGGGUGAACCCUUUACUUGGAUUCUAUACUUUGAUUUCGAUGACAAUUCUGUCAGCGGUGCUACCACUCAUCUUCAGAGAGCAGAUUUCUCCGUUUGGAGGGAGUCUGACUCCAUUGAGCUGAAGAUCCUGUCAGUUAAAGUGUCCCAUUCUGCCACCUACUUCUGUGCCUGCUGGGACUCGUCAACCCACAGUGAGAACUGA